rnacentral:lncRNA from 1 species
GCCAGCGCCAUCUUGUCUGAUCCUUACUGUACACGUGGCUGGCCAAGAGAAGAGAAGAUGGAGCGGCCAUUUUGAUCAUGCCUAGUCCCAGAAUAUAUCAGCUGUGAAAAUAAGUGAAAGAAAGAUUUUCUUAUCUCCAACAUUUCUGGGAAGGGGUGUGUCUGUGGAUUUUAUGUUACUGGAAAGAGACAAUCCAGUAGUCCACUUUGUCAGGAGUGUUUCAAACAACAUCUGUGAACCCACUGGACUUCAAGCUCCUACAGGCUAGAGAUUUGGUCUAUUUCAUCUGCAUUGUGAAAGGUCCUGGAGACUGAGAAUCAGGAAUUACUAGACUAUAAUGGAUGAGAUUUAUAAAAAAUAAGAUGAAGGUAAGCAGCUGUGCACAGCUGCUCUGCUAUAUUGGGAGGAAACUAGAACAAAGACACAAAACAAGAGUUGCAAGGGUAUAUGUACAUGUUCUGCCUGUGUUUAAGAGCCUAUCUAUGUUGCAUUUUGAGUUAUCUUGCUGGAGGAUAAGUUUGCAAGUUUGAGGCAAAAAGGCUUUGUGCUCUUGUGGUAAGAUCAUCAGGGAACAGCUCUCUGGAGGUGGUGCAGUGCAUAAGAGAGAAACUGGCUAGUGGUGGAAAUAAUACACUCCUUGGAAAAAGUAAAAGGAAAAUGUAAAAUGGAGUCUACCUUCUGGAUGCAAAGAAAUUCUCAUCAUCACGUGAUAGCAAGAUAGAAAAUAUGGUGACAACAAAAUUUUGACCAUUUAUAAAUAAUAAGUGAACUUCCAAAAAAGAAGGGAAAUGUUUGGAGACCAAAAUUAAGAGAAGCCACAAUGGUAAGAAACAUUAAGUUUACAAUUCUGCUAAAGGAAUUUGUCCAUUUUCAUAAUCUAGAACUUGCCUACAAAGUGGUAGCUGAACAAGAUCCUAGACGUCUAACCUAAGAAAGGUGGGAGGUAACUGAGAUCUCUACUUAAAUGUGAGAUCCUUGAA